rnacentral:lncRNA from 1 species
AAAAAAGCAUUCACCUGUUUUUAUUUCUUGGUCAAAACCUGCUUCUCAAUCAAAUUUAUGUAUAAAUAUUUUUUUCCUUUUAAAUUGAUUCCUCUCCAUGAUGUUUUCACUCUAGGGAAUCAAAUUUUCGUACAAAGCAUUAAAAAAAAAAAUCUCACCCAAUCUUAUUUUCCAAAAUAACAUUAUUUCAGAUUUUGUUUCCUAAAUAUUUUACAUUCCAUUCCAACUAAAACAAAUUACAGGAAAAUCAAUAUGGAAACAGAAACUAUGAUAUAUUUAACCACACCUUCUAUUCUGUUUUGAACAUAUUCUAUCUCUAAAUGAUUUGCAAACAAAGAAUACAACAAUUUGAUUCCCAUUUUGUUUUCCAAUACCUGUGAGCUUUGAUUCUAAACGUAAGAAGAACUUUGAUUCACAUUUAUUUAAAUAUUAUAAUUGAUAUAUAUUACGAAUAUGUAAAAUAAAAGUUUUUAAAAAUGCUAUAUAAUAUGGUUAUAUAGUAGAUGAGUUAUAAAGAGGACAUGUUGGAAUUAAUAAAAUAUCAUUAAAGUUGUGCUACCAUAGGUUAAAUCCUCAUUUUAUUAUUUUUAAAAUCAUAGCGUAAAAUUGACUUACUAUGUAUUUAGAUCCAUUAUUUUUUGUUAUAAUACUUAAAAUUGAAAUAGAAUCUCAAACACUAAACAAAACAAACUAAAUAUAACAAACAAAUGGUCAUGUAAUAUACAACGGGUUAAAAAAUUAAUUUAAACAUUUAGCCGUACAAACUGCCGGAAAAUUUAGUUAUUCCUCUAUUUAUAAAACAUCCAAUAUUUAACAAACAAAUACAACAUAAAAUAUAAAUGAUAAUAAAAUUAUAUACACACGGUGUACCGCGGGUUAAAAUCUAAUGUAGAGCAAAAAUGGAGCUAUUAUUAUAAUAUCAUAGUUUAAUAUGGGAAAAUGUCAAAAAAAUCAUCAACUUUUAAAUUUGGGACUAAAAAAUAUCAAAUUUCAAAAUAUCAUUUAAAUCAUGAAGUUUGUUUGACUUUUUGAUAAGGUAGUCAAGUUUUGUUGAUCUUACCGUUGGGCAUAACAUUAAUUUUCCGCUAAAACUAAUAUUUCCGCAUAACAUUAACCAAAAGACUUUAAAACAUCUUCUUUUUACUAAAACUUUGAUGCCAUAUUGAAUGAUUAGCAUCCCACCCUCUUCUCCCAUGUGGAGCAGAAAUGGAGCUAUUAUAUCAUUGUUUUAAUAUGUAUUGAUAUAUAGUUGUCAAGAAAAUAAAUUAUUGAUAUCGACAUCAAAUAUGGACCCACGUAAGAUUGUCGUAGUGUCCUAGUUAGACCAUUGUCGGUGUUACCUGCAUAUGUUGCUGAGGCCAGUUCAUUACUUAGGGUUUUUAGUUUGAAAAUCGUCAAAAAAUCUCGUUUACAAAAAAAAUCAUUGUCCUUUAGGAAAUAUCCCUAAAAAUCUGAUGGAGGUCUUAAUCCAGUACAACAAAAAAAAAACCACAAGAACACUUUCUCCUUAGGCAAAACUGAACAUACCAUUUAUUCAUAUGUUUUUGUGUUUUGGAACCACAAAGUUCAUAGAAUUGGUAAAAACAAAUACGCAUAUAAUUAAAACUAAUAAGGACUAUGUUCAGAAACUCUCUUUGAACAUGGGAAGUGCCCUCCUAUUAUUGUGCUUCGGAAAUAACAUAUCAAAUUAAACGGAAAGAUAACCAAGUUAUUUUAAGUCCAAAUACUUCGUUUUUUUUUGUUUGCUUGAACGUUGAGGUCGCUUCUCAUCAUCUUCCACCGUCAACCUCAUCAAAACCUAACCGGUACUGGGGAGAAAGUUCACAAUCCUUGACGAUCUAAUUCUGAGCAGGGAAGUCCUCUCCCUUAAAAUACCUCUCCAACAUGUCUUUCGUCCCCGCCGCAUAUCGUAGCUAUAAAUUAAAAACUGGUUUAAAUAAGUUCCAGAUGACCAAGUAAUGUGCAUAUUAAAGAAAGCUACUACUAAACUAGUGAUGUGCAUAUUAAAAAAAGCUACUACUAAAAAGUAACUACAGAGAAUGAAUGGCUGACUGUAGCUUUGUGACUUCCCAUUUAGCUCGAUACUAGGUUUGAACUGCGGUACACCGCGGGUCUGUAUUUUCAUAAUUAUUUCCGGGAAAUACUACUUUUUCUUAUAUGUUUUUUAUCGGAUAUAUAGUUAUUAAUUAAGUAAUCGAUGCGAUGUACAUAUAUUUUGUAGGGUAUUUUGUGUUGGAAAAGGGCUUUUCCAUACCUAGACAGUUGCACUAUGUUGAAUUCAUACAUUUGACUAUUCAAUGUGCCUAAAAAUAUAUUAAAUUUUAAAUAAUUUGAAUUUCAAACCUAAACUUUAAUUUUUGUGCCUUACCAUACCAAAACGUUUUUAUUGCUUAACUCCGUUAACCUUCCGUUUUAUUCAUUGCUGUUAUAAAUUAUAUUUGUUUUUAAGAUAAUUGUCUUUUCUCUUUUAUAUUUAUAUAGUUUACAACUUAAAAUGUGUUAGUUUUUUGUUAAAUUUUAUUGGAUACUAUAUUAUUGUAGAUUUGUUUUGUUUGAUAGAGUAGUAUAAAGAUAUGUGGUAGGUCAAAAUAUUUUUGUUUGUUGGACAUAUAUACAAAUCAAUUAUUCUAUUAAAAUUUAUAAAAUAAAAUUAUUAGUUUAGAAGUAAGAACAUGAACUAUGAUUAAAAUUUAUAAUAUAUGAUAACUGAAUAGUUUUAGUGUUGAUUUAAUUAUUCAAACCUGCCAUGCUAAACCCGUCUCACAACAGGUAUACAAAUUUUUUACCCAUACCAUUUAUGAAAUAGAAUGUACCAUAAGUGGAGAUAUAUUUCCUGAAAAUAAAUGUUACCUAUGUUUUAUGGAUCCUUUUCUAAAGAUAAAAGAAAUGAAAAUCAAAUUAGGUAAAAAGGGUAGAUUUAUCGAAUUAUAAUCCAGUUAAAGAAGAUAAUCACUGCAAUGUUGAUUAGAUGGUUACACAUGAAUCCAAUCAAGAACUCUUCGAUUUAAGUUUUGUUUGCUUGAUCAUUAUUUAAUAUACUAGGUUGUGAACCCACGCUAUGCGUGAGUUUAUUUGAUAUAUUUUGGGAAAAAUUAUAUUUGAUUGAUGAUAGUUAUAAAAUUUUAUACAAAAAGUUAAAUUACUUUUAAGGCAUAAAAAUUCACUUCAAAUACACACUUUUAAAAAUUAUAAAAAUCAGUUUUGUUAAGGAAUUAAAUAAGAUCAAAAGAAUCACGGAUCAAUCUUGCUUUCUCAUAUUUAUUUUUCCUCACAUUCAUCGUUUUCGUAUUUUUCAUAUAUAUCAGGGCGAAAAUAGCUUAUGUCCACACAAAUCACAUGGACUAUGUAUCUAUCAAGUCGUUGGUGAGCAAGAGAGGAUGUUUGGGAGGGAACUACAAUUGAUCACCAAUAUUGAGGGUUGGGUACAUUUCCUUGUACUUCUGGGUUUUCUUUCUUAGGCGUUUGUGGAGCUACUAAUGGUUUACUUAAACAUAAGUAAAUCUUGUUGUUUCCUUUUAUAUAAGGUUUAAAGUUGUCACUAGUGUUUUCCUUCACCACCUCACAUGCAUAAUGGUGAUCUUGGUUGUCUUUGAUCUUUGCAACAUCUUUCAUUGUCUCACUAGUUUGAGACCUAGAAGGAACGACAAACAUGGGCACCAUAUAGGUUACUCGUAGCUUCAUGACUUUAUAUGACUGUUCAACAACACAUUUUCUUCACAAUAAUACUUAAUAAGUUGAUAAAGGUCAGUAUGGACUUGUGUAUGAAUUUACAUCUAGGGUGGAAGAGGGCCUAGUUUCAACAUCAAUGGCCCGAAGCAGGUCUUCUUUAUGCUUUCUCUCAUUUAUAUCUUUAUUUUAUGCCACUAAACUCUUACUUGGGCCAUAACAACCAUCUAUACUUGAUGCAAUUUUGACUUAAAUGAUACACGGCAUUCUCUUCGUUUCAUCAUUUUUUUCUUCAAUUACGAUGCCUUUUUAUUACACACGUUCCAUAUAGAGAAAAAAAUUUGGAUUAGCUGGAAUAAGCUUCAAGUAAAGCCAAACAAAUAAAUGGUGUUUAAGGAAACAUAGUGCAAAAUCCAAAAAAAAAAAUAUGAAGUUAUAGUCCUCCAAGAAAACAUACAUUUUAUGAUUAAAUUUUUGGAAUCAUGCUGCUUGACAUAGAAACUAUGACGAUCUAGUGAUUUGUGCUGAUUUUUAGCAUAUACUCCAGCCCAUACUUUCCCGAAAUCAGAGCGUCACCUAGCCUAUUUUUCUUGUUUCUGCUUUCAUUGAGACUUUUUAUUCAGUUCCAAAAAUUUUAGAGAAGUAAUCAACUCUAAUUGUGGCUGACGGCUCGGAAUUUACAACAUAAGAAAUUUGAUCAAAUGUAAUGCCUUUUGUUAUUAUUUAUACUGAAAAUAUGUAGGCUUAAUCAAAUAUAUAUAUUUGUUAAUAUUCUUUUUCUGAUUAAGAAAAUAAGAAUAAGAAAUGUAAGUUUUAUAUAUUUUUAUAUUUUUUUUCAAAAGUUUACAAUUCUCUUUUUCUUUAUAUUUUGUUUUUUUUUUAUUAAUAUUUUGUAUAAAAAAAUAAAUAGAGUUUAAAAAUGUUAAUUAAUAAGAUGGAAAAAUGUUAAUUAAUUAGAUGUCUUAUUAUUAUUGGUCGUUUAAAAUCUUAUGUGGACGUGUCAAGGAGCUUAUAGCCUCAACUUUUAUAUAGUAUAGAUUACAGAGUAGAAACGGAGGUUUUAAGGAAAAAUCACUAUGUAAAUAAGUAAUAAAGGUAUUAAAAAUUGUAGCCAAAAUUGAGUUAGUUCCGAUUACUAAAUAAUCUGAAUAUUCUUGUUUUGAAAUUAAUAGUUAGUCAAUAUUUUAUUGUACACAGAUUAUGAUUUUAUGGCCAUGAAUCAAAUCAGUACCCUAAAAUAAAUAAUCUUAUGAUGAACAUAUAUAUCAUGUAUAUUAGACUUAGUUUAUCGAAUAUUUUUUCUUUCGAUAUAAAUUUGUUGCUACUGAAAGUAGCAAAUCAAAUAAUGUUAU